rnacentral:rRNA from 1 species
AGUGAACGCUGGCGGUAGGCCUAACACAUGCAAGUCGAACGGCAGCACAGUAAGAGCUUGCUCUUACGGGUGGCGAGUGGCGGACGGGUGAGGAAUACAUCGGAAUCUACUUUUUCGUGGGGGAUAACGUAGGGAAACUUACGCUAAUACCGCAUACGACCUACGGGUGAAGGCAGGGGAUCUUCGGACCUUGCGCGAUUGAAUGAGCCGAUGUCGGAUUAGCUAGUUGGCGGGGUAAAGGCCCACCAAGGCGACGAUCCGUAGCUGGUCUGAGAGGAUGAUCAGCCACACUGGAACUGAGACACGGUCCAGACUCCUACGGGAGGCAGCAGUGGGGAAUAUUGGACAAUGGGCGAAAGCCUGAUCCAGCCAUACCGCGUGGGUGAAGAAGGCCUUCGGGUUGUAAAGCCCUUUUGUUGGGAAAGAAAAGCAGCAGGUUAAUACCCCGCUGUUCUGACGGUACCCAAAGAAUAAGCACCGGCUAACUUCGUG